rnacentral:rRNA from 1 species
GAUGAACGCUGGCGGCGUGCCUAAUACAUGCAAGUCGAGCGAACGGUUGAGAAGCUUGCUCCUCUGGUGUUAGCGGCGGACGGGUGAGUAACAUGUGGAUAACCUACCUAUAAGACUGGGAUGAUUUUGGGAAACCGGAGCUAAUACCGGAUGAUAUUUUGCACUUCAUGGUUCAAAAGUGAAAGUCGGUCUUGCUUUCACUUAUAGAUGGAUCCGCGCUGCAUUAGCUAGUUGGUAAGGUAACGGCUUACCAAGGCAACGAUGCAUAGCCGACCUGAGAGGGUGAUCGGCCACACUGGAACUGAGACACGGUCCAGACUCCUACGGGAGGCAGCAGUAGGGAAUCUUCCGCAAUGGGCGAAAGCCUGACGGAGCAACGCCGCGUGAGUGAUGAAGGUCUUCGGAUCGUAAAACUCUGUUAUUAGGGAAGAACAUAUGUGUAAGUAACUGUGAACAUCUUGACGGUACCUAAUCAGAAAGCCACGGCUAACUACGUG